rnacentral:rRNA from 1 species
AUUGAACGCUGGCGGCAGGCCUAACACAUGCAAGUCGAACGAGUGGCGGACGGGUGAGUAAUGUCUGGGAAACUGCCUGAUUGAGUGGGAUAACUACUGGAAACGGUAGCUAAUACCGCAUACCAUCGGAUGUGCCCAGAUGGGAUUAGCUAGUCGGUGGGGUAAAGGCUCACCUAGGCGACGCUCCCUAGCUGGUCUGAGAGGAUGACCAGCCACAAUGGAACGGAGACACGGGCCAGAAUCCUACGUGAGGCAGCAGUGGGGAAUAUUGCACAAUGGGCGCAAGCCUGAUGCAGACAUGCCGCGUGUAUGAAGAAGGCCUUCGGGUUGUAAAGUACUUUCAGCGGGGAGGCGUUACCCGCAGAAGAAGCACCGGCUAACUCCGUGCCAGCAGCCGCGGUAAUAC